AAGUUGUUUAGGAAAUUUUAGGGAUAAAUUCAAAAGAAACUAGGGUAAAAUGUGGUAAAAAAAACGUAACUGGAAACACUGCUUUGAAGUUUUCAAAAUUCCAGGGCCGUAAAACAACCUCAAAAAAAAAAAAGAGUUUUCAAAAUGUCGUAACGCUUUAAUUUUUUAAAUCGUUUUUUUUUUGUCUUGGUGUGAGUUAUUUUACGUUGUAGUAUUAAUUUAGAGCAACUUUUAGCUUUAUGAGAAUAUUAGACGAUUAGACAUUGAGAAACUCUGUUUUGAAUUCUCUUUAGACAUAACUUGGCUCCAAUACUUUUUUCUUCGUUAGCGUUUCGUAAGCCUGUGUAACUAUUUUCAUUUCUUACAGAAAGUUUAUUAUUAAAAAUCAGCAUGCCUCGAAGAUCGAAAAUGAAAUGCUAUUUCGGAUGCCUUGAUAACGACAAAGGUUUGAUAGUGACAAAAUUUUAUGGUAAAAUUAUAAGGAGCACUAAAAUGUCUGAAAUAUGAAAAGAUUGAUGCACUAUAUUUGAACCAGAACGUGUUAUGUAAUAUAUUAAUUUAAGAGAAACUGAUUCAGCAAGGAACGUGAACUCUCAAGGAUCUUAAUUUUUUUUAAAUAUGUUUAUAAUUUAUAAAUUAAUAAUUGAAAUAGUUCAUAAGAACUAAAUUGAUGCCAAUUUUGUUUUAAAAUAGGUUGUUUAGUUCUUAUAGUAUUACGUUUGAAUAGUUAUAAUUAGUAAGUUAGUAAUAUAUGAAAAUACUGAUAUAAAUUUUUGUAAAUAACCUUUUGUAAAUUCUACGAGAAGAUGAUUUUAAUUAAUGAUCAAAAGUCAACGGUCUUCAAAAGCAUUAUUUGCAAUUAUUUAGAUUAACUGUGGAAUAUAUUUUUACUAAGUUGUGUUUUCUGUAUGAGCAGAUAUAAAUGAAAAUGCCCAAACAUGAUUAUGUUUCUUACAUUUUCAUUAUGUGAAAUCAAUAUGCUUGUGACUGAGUAUAUUAAUAAUUUAUUAAAACUUAAGUGAUAGACAGCAACCCCUAUGGCACUGCUGAAGUUUAUAAGCACUGGUGACCACUUAUCAUGAGCCGGGUUGCGUGCUCGUCUGCUGUUGAGUCCAAUAAAAAUUUUCGAAACCCUUUCUAUUAUUUAGAUGUAAUAUUAAUGUACAUUUAAUUUGGAUUAAAAGAUAAAUUUACAUUUUAUGUUUGCAUGUGUAUGUUUAUAAUUCAUUUGCAUGUAACGAACAUCAGUUUCUUUUGUAACAAAAUGCAAACUAAUGGUUUGUAAUGAAUGUAAUUAACUUUAAGAUGAUUUUCUUUCAAUCUGCUGUUUGUUUCAUUUAGUAUUACCAAAUAUAAGAAUGCUAAGAAUAAUUUAGUAUUCACUUUAGUGUGUGUAUUAUCUCUACAAUGCUAGUUUAAAUGACAAUUAUUGUAUGACGAAGCAUAGGUAGUGUUUAAAGAUGUAAUAUUUUCAUACAAGAUGAUCAUGAUCAUGAUCUGUCACGAUCAACUUUAAGCAAGAACUGCUAUCGUUAAGAAACAAAUUUAUUUAAUUUAAUUCAAAUUGUCUACUAUGUUUGUAAUGGAAAGCUGACAUGUUUAUAUUUCGCACAAAUGACUUAUUGACAUAGAAUGAUUUGAUUAUCUAGACUUAAUUAACUUUUAGAUAACUUUCGAUUUAAUGUUAAUAAGUACGCUAGUAGGAUUAAUCUAGAGGAAUUAUUGUUAUUCGAAAUUUUAUACAAUUGUACGUUCAUACAAUCUUUUAACAGAAAAUUGUUUGUAAUAUAGGGAAAUUAAAUAGCUUACAGAGAA